rnacentral:rRNA from 1 species
GCCGCAGUACUCUGACUGUGCAAAGGUAGCAUAAUCAGUUGGCCUAUAAUUGAGGUCUGGUAUGAACGAACAUCUGGGUAACAACUGUCUACAAUUGAUUUUUCUAAAUUUAGUUAGCAAGUGCAAAUACUUGCAUAUUUAUAAAAGACGAGAAGACCCUAGAAACUUAAGUGAGUUUUUGUUGGGGCGACAGGAUUACAAGUAACUAAUCUUAAUAACGAGACGUAAUACAGUAAGAAUAAGUUACUCUAGGGAUAACAGCAUAAUUUUUAUAGUUUGUGACCUCGAUGUUGGACUAGGUACAGCACUCUUUAGAAGAGAGUUGGUAAGCUCUGUUCGAGCAUUAUUAACCUACAUGAUCUGAGUUC